rnacentral:rRNA from 1 species
CCCUUUGUGACAUACCUAACCGUUGCUUCGGCGGGCAGGGGAAGCCUCUCGCGGGCCUCCCCUCCCGGCGCCGGCCCCCACCAAGGGGGACGGGGCGCCCGCCGGAGGAAACCAAACUCUAUUUACACGACGUCUCUUCUGAGUGGCACAAGCAAAUAAUUAAAACUUUUAACAACGGAUCUCUUGGUUCUGGCAUCGAUGAAGAACGCAGCGAAAUGCGAUAAGUAAUGUGAAUUGCAGAAUUCAGUGAAUCAUCGAAUCUUUGAACGCACAUUGCGCUCGCCAGCAUUCUGGCGAGCAUGCCUGUUCGAGCGUCAUUUCAACCCUCAAGCACCGCUUGGUUUUGGGGCCCCACGGCACACGUGGGCCCUUAAAGGUAGUGGCGGACCCUCCCGGAACCUCCUUUGCGUAGUAACUAACGUCUCGCACUGGGAUCCGGAGGGACUCUUGCCGUAAAACCCCCCAAUUUUUUACAGGUUGACCUCGGAUCAGGUAGGAAUACCCGCUGAACUUAAGCAUAUCAAU